UAUGUAUUCCUUGGGAAAAUAUCUGGUUGCCAAUUAUGUGAGUUUUGUCCAAUUUUAUACCUAUUCUGACUAAUACAGAAUCAAACUUUCUUAUUCUCUUAUUAUCUUACUUUAUUUUUGGUUCAGAAAUCUUAUCCAAAAAUUUCCAUUGACAGACCAUGAUACCCUUUACACAGAAAGAAUAAAUAUUUUAAAGUUACCAUGCAUAAGGUCCAAAAAUGUAUACUUUUCUCCUUACAAUGCUAAGCUUUGAACCAGAAAUAAAUGAAUAUUUUACACUAGGCAUAUCAGUUCAAAAAUGAUAAUGUAUUCUUUAUAUGUGAAGAUAAUACAUUUGACUCAUAAACAUAGCUUUUAGCAUUUCUUAACCAUAGUUAAUAGGUUCAUACUGAUUCAUCCACACUUUCUUUCCCACUCUGUCUUAUUUUGUAAGCAAAGGACAAUUUGUGAUUAGUAAGAUAUCCAGGUCAUAAGCCAUUGUUAUGGAAAAUAGCAAGGUUAAAAUAAAAGAAAUAGAACAAAUUUUUAAAAAUCCUUCAUUGAUAUUUUUUAGCCAUACCUAUCAAGUGUUACUUAAAUCUAGGAUACUAUGAACUUUAGAUGAUCAACAUUUAAAUGAAUAUUGGUUUGACCAAAACUUCUGGUCAUAAUGGUAUGCAGAGCUGGUCUCCCUUCAUGCAGUAUACACAGUCUUAAGGUUAAACUUGGGAGAGGAAAUUCUAAAUGUAUAAAGCUGUAAUUAUCUUAGGUCAAAACUAUAUAACUCCUUUCCCCCUAUUUUGGUAUAGGGACUUCAAUGUACCAUUGUGUGCAAAAGGAAAAAUAAUAUAGAUCAUUAUAAACAUUAUAACGAAUUUCAUGAAAAAAGUAUUAGUCUUCAAUUUCUUCAGUGCUGCCCAAAGAAGAGCAGAAGCUAUAUCAUGAAAAUUGAAGAAUUUUUGAAAACUGACAUAUUAACAUAAUGUUUAUAACUUUUAUAAAUACUGAAUCAGACCUGUUACAUUCAAUCAUUUUAGGUUCCUGAAGAUAAAAGUUUUAGUAAUUUUUAGCAUGUAUCAGAUUUAUUCCACAGAAGAACUAACUUGUUUUCUUUUUUUUAAAGGAGGUAACUAUUACUGUUUAGCAAUGGCACAACAGUUUUAUUCGGCCUGAAAGGUCCUCGCUGGCUUUACAUAAAUGAAGAUGCUUGUGAUUCCAGUUUAUCUCUGAAACUAUUCAACAUGGAGUAUUUUCAAUUGUGUUUAUCAGCAAAGCUUUGUUUACUGAAGCAGCUAUUCAAUCUGUUACAUUAAAAAAGGAAUAUGUGUAAAUUUUAAAAUCAAUGAUGUAAACAUUGUCCUCACAUUAGAUUGACCAGUUUAAGAAUAUGAACUAAAUCCUAAUGGCUAAAGUAACUUGACCAUAUUUGAUGCUUUUCUAUGAUCAUUUCAGCUUGGCUUUUUGUCUUUUAAGAAAAAAAUACUGUAGUGUGUUAGAGACUAGAUUCUUAUAUGUAUGGUUUCUCUGUUCUUCCAUAUAUUAAGUUAAAGAAUGAUUUCUUUGUUAAAAAAUGUACUUGC
rnacentral:lncRNA from 1 species